GACGAACGCUGGCGGCGUGCUUAACACAUGCAAGUCGAACGGAAAGGCCCUGCUUUUGCGGGGUGCUCGAGUGGCGAAAGGGUGAGUAACACGUGAGUAACCUGCCCUUGACUUUGGGAUAACUUCAGGAAACUGGGGCUAAUACCGGAUAGGAGCUCCUGCUGCAUGGUGGGGGUUGGAAAGUUUCGGCGGUUGGGGAUGGACUCGCGGCUUAUCAGCUUGCUGGUGGGGUAGUGGCUUACCAAGGCUUUGACGGGUAGCGGGCCUGGGAGGGUGACCGGCCACGUUGGGACUGGGAUGCGGCCCAGACUCCUACGGGAGGCAGCGGUGGGGAAUAUUGCACAAUGGGCGGAAGCCUGAUGCAGCAACGCCGCGUGCGGGAUGACGGCCUGCGGGUUGUAAACCGCUUUCGCCUGUGACGAAGCGUUAGUGACGGUAAUGGGUAAAGAAGCACCGGCUAACUACGUG
rnacentral:rRNA from 1 species